GACGAACGCUGGCGGCGUGCUUAACACAUGCAAGUCGAACGGUGAAGCGCCUUCCUUGUUGGUGGGUGUGUAGGAGUGGCGAACGGGUUAGUAACACGUUAGUAACCUUCCCCCUUCUUCUGGAUAACCGCAUGAAAGUGUGGCUAAUACGGGAUAUUCUGGGUCUGUCGCAUGAUUGGUCUGGGAAAGAUAUUGUUUCGGUGGGGGAUGGGCUCGCGGCCUAUCAGCUUGUUGGUGGGGUGAUGGCCUACCAAGGCGGUGACGGGUAGCCGGCCUGAGAGGGUGGACGGUCACACUGGGACUGAGACACGGCCCAGACUACUACGGGAGGCAGCAGUGGGGAAUAUUGCACAAUGGGCGCAAGCAUGAUGCAGCGACGCCGCGUGAGGGAUGGAGGCCUUCGGGUUGUGAACCUCUUUCGCCAGUGAAGCAGGCCUGCCUCGUUUGUGGGUGGGUUGACGGUAGCUGGAUAAGAAGCGACGGCUAACUACGUG
rnacentral:rRNA from 1 species